rnacentral:rRNA from 1 species
AACGAACGCUGGCGGCAGGCCUAACACAUGCAAGUCGAACGCCCCGCAAGGGGAGUGGCAGACGGGUGAGUAACGCGUGGGAACGUGCCCUUCGCUUCGGAAUAGCCCCGGGAAACUGGGAGUAAUACCGGAUACGCCGUAUUGGGAAAGAUUUAUCGGCGAAGGAUCGGCCCGCGUUGGAUUAGGUAGUUGGCGGUGUAAUGGACCACCAAGCCUACGAUCCAUAGCUGGUCUGAGAGGAUGAUCAGCCACACUGGGACUGAGACACGGCCCAGACUCCUACGGGAGGCAGCAGUGGGGAAUCUUGGACAAUGGGCGCAAGCCUGAUCCAGCCAUGCCGCGUGAGUGAAGAAGGCCUUAGGGUUGUAAAACUCUUUCGCCGGAGAAGAUAGUGACGGUAUCCGGAGAAGAAGCCCCGGCUAACUUCGUGCCAGCCGCCGCAGUAACAC